rnacentral:rRNA from 1 species
GACGAACGCUGGCGGCGUGCUUAACACAUGCAAGUCGAACGGAAAGGCCCCUUUGGGGGUACUCGAGUGGCGAACGGGUGAGUAACACGUGAGUAACCUGCCCUUGACUUCGGGAUAACUUCAGGAAACUGGGGCUAAUACCGGAUAGGAAUCCUUGCUGCAUGGUGGGGGUUGGAAAGCUUCGGCGGUUUUGGAUGGACUCGCGGCUUAUCAGCUUGUUGGUGGGGUAGUGGCUUACCAAGGCUUUGACGGGUAGCCGGCCUGAGAGGGCGACCGGCCACAUUGGGACUGAGAUACGGCCCAGGCUCCGACGGGAGGCAGCAGUGGGGAAUAUUGCACAAGGGGCGGGAGCCUGAUGCAGCAACGCCGCGGGCGGGAGGACGGCCUUCGGGUUGGAAUCCGCUUUCAGCAGGGGCGAAGCUUGUGGUGACGGUACCUGCAGAAGAAGCACCGGCUAACUACGUG